rnacentral:rRNA from 1 species
UGGGGAAUAUUGCACAAUGGGCGAAAGCCUGAUGCAGCGACGCCGCGUGAGGGAUGACGGCCUUCGGGUUGUAAACCUCUUUCAGCAGGGACGAAGCGCAAGUGACGGUACCUGCAGAAGAAGCACCGGCUAACUACGUGCCAGCAGCCGCGGUAAUACGUAGGGUGCAAGCGUUGUCCGGAAUUACUGGGCGUAAAGAGUUCGUAGGCGGUUUGUCGCGUCGUUUGUGAAGACCAGCAGCUCAACUGCUGGCUUGCAGGCGAUACGGGCAGACUUGAGUACUGCAGGGGGGACUGGAGUGCCUGGUGUAGCGGUGAAAUGCGCAGAUAUCAGGAGGAACACCGGUGGCGAAGGCGGGUCUCUGGGCAGUAACUGACGCUGAGGAACGAAAGCGUGGGUAGCGAACAGG